ACAAUAGCGAGUAAUAUUAUUUUAAUUUCUAACAAUAAACACGCGAACGAAAGUUAUAGAACGAACGUGAAAAUCACUUUGCAAUGAAGUUAGUGGCGCGAAUAGGAUCACUGAACCAUGAAAUUAGUUCCAAGUUUUCUUGUACGACCAAACGUAUGAAUUGUAAACUCUGUUAGUUACGGAUUUUUGAAAACAAUAUAUUGAUUUUACGACCAAAUAUUUAUUAAACAUGAAGUGAAGUAUUUUAGAGACAAGAGACGAAUCCUCUUAGCAUUCAAUGGAUUCACCGUGGGGGUGCCGGGUCCUUCGCGUUGCAGGGACAGGAGCUUCAAUAGUACCUGGAACAGGCCUAAGUCGUUUAAACCCUAUCAUGACGAUGCGAGUUUUGACCGCUAUCAAGGAGUAUCUUACAUCCCACCGGCAAAUGCUUAGCAGUUCCAAUUGCCUUCCCAAAGAUAUAGCAAGUUUUUUCGGUACCUCUACCCCAUCUUACUAAAAUAUUCUGAGCUGGGAGAGUCAUUUGGAACGCUUUGAUAGAUAUAUUAUAUUUGAAACGAAAAUAAACUUGUUUUAUACCCAUAAAUGAACAUGUAUUGUUAUCAUUAUAGCAAAUUAAUAUAAUUAACUCGGGUAAUAAUUGAAUAUUUUUUUUACAGAUAGUAAUAUAAGUAAUUAUUAUAACAUUCAUAUUAAUAUGACGUUACAAAAUAUAUUAAACGGUUUCCAUUAAAAAAGUUUUUGCAAUAAAAUAGUUUUAAAUUAAAAACAAUCAUAUAACAAAAAAUUUAAACCCUGUUGCAAA